rnacentral:pre_miRNA from 1 species
UUGGUGUGUCCUCUAGUAGCUGAAGCUGCCAGCAUGAUCUGAGGUGUCCACAGCAUAUAUAUGGAAGCAGCUAGCGAUCAGAUCAUGCUGUGCAGUUUCAUCUGCUCGUGGACGCACAC